AAGAUACAGGAUGGGGAAAUAAAAUGAUUAAGAGGGGAGCUCAUUCAAGAGUAGACAUAAAAGUCGACAAAAACCUGAGGAAUCCCAUGUAAUUUAGUCCAGCACUGCCCAAACUUGCAUUAACACUCACUCAUACACAAAUAUUUAUUUUUCUAUAGUACAAUGAGAGAGCAAUUAGUUCCUCCAUUAUUUUUAAGGGUCUCGCUCAACCAAAGCUGGUUUUAUGAUGACCACGUGAGUCAGACAUUCUCUAGUAUCUUUACAGAACAUUUAAAAAGUCAAACCUGGAGUAGCAACAUAGAUCAACCCACUGUGUUUUAUGUAAAUCUAAGGUUUCAGUGGAGCUUUGCAGUAGCUGGCAGGUCAGAAAAAUGGAGGCAGUCAAAGUGACUUUUCCAUUGUACCAUUUAAAAUUACGUGGUGUGCUGGUUUUAUUUUAUAAGGCUAACAGGUUCAGGUAGAUAUUGGAUCAAGAAACUUUUCUUGAUCACAGGUUUCUUGAUAAAGACAUGUAAGACUGAAGCUGUGCUCUCUGGACCAAUGUCAGCUCCAGUCCCUCUUCAUCCAUUCACGGACAAAGGUGCUCUCUACUUCUAAGUUUCACUGUUCCAGACCUGUUCCCUUGGCAACAACAGCACUGUUUGCGAGUGACACAAAGCCUGAACUUAAGAACCUCCUUUCGGGUUGAAGGCUCCAAGUGUGGAGAGGAAAACAGCAAUAACAGGACGGCGGGGAGAGAAACUGAAUACCGGCAAAUUGCUUCCCAGAGUUUCUGGAGGACAUGUGACAUCUGAGAAGACCAGCGAUGGAGACCGGCAGCAAGGGGAAUGGAGGACCAGAGGGGCUGCGCCCUGGGUUAGAUUGCACUGUAUGCUCAGAUAAGAUGACAGGAAAGGGCAGAUUAGGGCAAGGCAACAUGGGAAGCUGGCUAGGGCUACUGUUACCCCAGGAAGAGCUCACUCAUUCCUCAGAUCACACCUGCGGAGGCCAGGAUCUCAUUCAGUCACAUAGUGCCACCAGCCAGGAGUUGGGAAUUGGUCACCAGAGCCUCAGAUUGGACUCAAUGUAAACCAAGGGUAACUUCUAAAGCAACUGUGUACAAGAAAUUAUUGUACUUGUGGUUUUACAUGUUUGGCCAAAGAAAUACAAAUAUGUGUAUACUUGAUAUUACUAGCAACCAUUUUCCAAACCAUACCAAGGUUUUAGAUUUGGAACAUUCCAGGCAUUUUCCAUUAAUUUCAGUCUAGAAACACAACUUGGAGAGAGACUUGAAACAUGCUUGGCAUAGUAAUUCAUCAAAGUAAUCUUUUCAACAUUUUUCUCAAAGUUACAUUGUUAUGUGAGAAGUCCUUUUUUGGUGCUUUCAUGGACACCACCCUGGCAUCUGAGGUUUGAAAAGCAGUUAGUGAACAAAAACUUUUUAAUGCCAGAAAUGACCACGUGUAUUAUCCAUUUUUGUAUGUCCAUGUUUGUAUGUUGUAUUUUGUGACAGCAUAGUGAAUGAAUGCAACACUGUUAGCUGCAACGUAAAAUCCACUUCUGUACAACUGCAGUACCAUCUGACAACAGCAAUAGCAAGGCAAGCAGGUUCCAAGUCUCUGCAGGUUGAUUUUUAUACCUUACUGUAAUGAGUGAAAAUCAGUAGCAUUUGCUGGUUAAAGCAUCUAAAAUAUUAUAAUGUAAAAUGAUUUGCAGUUGUUCUGUGUUUUAAAUCAUUGUAAACUAUAUCUUAUGGACUCUUAGACAGACAAAAGAAGCAAUGUGGGCUCUGGUAAUGUUGGUAUUUGUCAUUAUGUUUUACAUUUAUAUAAGUUAAACAAUCGAUCAAUUCAUCGAUUGAAAUUUGAAAAAAUUGCUGGCCUAGUAAGUAACCGGAUAUGGAAAUUCUGUGAUGUAACCCGAGAGACAUAUGGUCAGUCUUACAGCACACAUUCCUGACAACACACACACACACACACACUGGUAAAAUAAACCACAAUCUUCA